rnacentral:rRNA from 1 species
GAUGAACGCUGGCGGCGUGCCUAAUACAUGCAAGUCGAGCGAACGGACGAGAAGCUUGCUUUUCUGAUGUUAGCGGCGGACGGGUGAGUAACACGUGGAUAACCUACCUAUAAGACUGGGAUAACUUCGGGAAGCCGGAGCUAAUACCGGAUAAUAUUUUGAACCGCAUGGUUCAAAAGUGAAAGACGGUCUUGCUGUCACUUAUAGAUGGAUCCGCGCUGCAUUAGCUAGUUGGUAAGGUAACGGCUUACCAAGGCAACGAUGCAUAGCCGACCUGAGAGGGGGAUAGGCCCCGCUAGAACUGAGCCCGCGUUCAAACCCCUACGGGGAGCAGGAGUUGGGAAUCUUGCGGCAAGGGCGAAAGCCCUGAGGAGCAACGCCGCGUGAGGAGAGAAGGUUUUCGGAUCGUAAAACUCUUUUAAUGGGGAAAAACCUAUUUGUAAGGAAAUUUGCACAUCUUGGCGGGACCUAAUCAAAAAGCCGCGGCGAACUACGU